rnacentral:lncRNA from 1 species
GGAAAUCCCACCCUCCCCGAGCGCUGGGCAGCAGCAUGUUUCCUCAUAGGCAGUGAGAAAUGUUUGUUAAAACAAACGCUGGGUUGGGGCUGUCUCCAGCGCCCCCCCUCCCCAGGCGAGGAUUGGCUGCCAAGGCAGGCGAGAGGCGAGGAGGGGCCGGGGGAAAUUCAGGCAUUUCCUCCGUCUUCGGCCUUGAAGGUCCCUGGAAGCACGAACAGACGUGGCGCUGGGUGUCUGCAGCAAGAUGAGUACGUUUCAGGCUGAAGUCGUUCAGUUUGCGAACGAGUUUGCUGAUCAAAACCCAGCAGCUCGUGCUGUAAUCGUAAGGAUUCCAGACAUCUGUUUUCCUACUCGGUUGUGGAAGAAGAAAAUGCACCACAAACGCAGUGUUAGAAAGCAAACACGAUAAAGUCGCUUUGUUUUGGGCAGAAAGUACAUACAAUAGAAGUGCAUCAGGCUACACGUGUGCUUUCGGCUUUUGCCAGUCUUGCUGUGCUGGUCAGGUCUGUCAUAAAUCGUGUCGUCCGUGUUUCACAUGAAAGCAGUUUGGAGGGCAGGAGAAGCUGUUUAAAGCAGGAACACAGUGUUGCCAGAAUGCGUUGCAUCCAGACCAGGAAUGUAAUUUGCUGCCUUGACUUAGAUGUGUCUUCAAACACUUUCAAGAGAAGUGAUCCAUUGCAGGUUGGAUCUAAACAAACCACGCGGUGCAGGAAGUCCCCAAGCUGAAAGCAGCUGGAGGCUGGGACACUGGCAGGCACAAACACCAUGUAUGUCUGGCUGGCACUUUGUCCUCACAGUGCCCUGUUUGCCCACUACACUUCCUGGAUGUGAGGAAACUUCUGCCCACUCUUUCCUUUUAAAUGAUACUACUCAUUCCCAAGAGAUUGUUUUGCUCUGAAUUCCAGCACUGGUUAAUGCCGUCACAUAUGGACAGGACUUUUUAUUCUUACCAUGCUGUUUUGCCAUGCUCUUUGUUCAGUACAACAAAUAUGAGUCUGGAUGGUUCCAGAUACUGGACUCAGGACUAGGAAAGCACCAUUUGAAUGCUGCACUUGGUACUGCCCAUGCUAGGCUAAUGAAUGAGCCCAGCCUUCUCCUCUGGGACUUUCCACCAUCCUCCUCACUGAUCCAAACCUACCCGUUUAGGAGCUCAAGUCUGUAUCUGGCUUUGUAGGAGAGGUCGGUGCCAACACACUUCAGUGUGUGCUCAGCUCCCAGCCAUGCUGAAAGAAACGCAACUUAAAUGUGUUUCCUGAAAGGCAGCUCUUCUGUGUUGUGAUUGGAAAAGUAUUAAUGCAUCAAAUUGAUGUAAAUUUUUCAUCAGAACAAAGCGUAGAAACGUUUGUUUUUUUUUUUUUCCAGGAAAGAUCUCAGCAGUGUACUUAAUUUAGGAAGCUGAGGGGAAGAGAACAAAGCGGUAAUAAAAACAGAAUACGGAAAUCCACCAAGCUGAGAACAGUUGGAGGGUGGGAGACUCAUAGGGAAAAGCUUGUGCUGUUCCUUUUCUUCCCCAGGCAUCAAAAAGAAACUAGCAGGUUGUGGAAGGGGGCACAGGGCAGAGGAACCUCAACGUCUGCUGUUCGCUGAAGCUGUCCAAGGAAGGAAUGCAUGCUACCCCAAGGUGUGUCCUGCCAGACAAAGGUAUGUUGAGGGAUGAAGCAGCACCCACAGCAGCCAGGAUCCUCCCUUUUCAUCUUCCUUCUGACUUUGCCCUUGCCCAUGCAGUCUGGCCAACCAGUGCUAGCUGGACUCAACUGUCAGAGGAACUCGAUGAGAGAUUCUGUGACUUAAUGGGAAGAAUGUAAAUAAAAAAUGGGAGGGAAAGUACAGGCAAAUUAAAAAAAAAAAUCUGGGGGAGUCAUAACUGAGGGUAUUCAUUGAUGACAGGACACUGGGGAGUGCUGGACUUCUGGCCUGACCCUCUGUGUCUGGUCUUUUGUUGGCAUGAGUAUCUUAUGGGCAUUAUAACUGCUGAUAACUCAGAUAGAAAAGACUGCCAAGUAUGGAUGCGGAUUGAGAUAAAAAAUGCUUUUUUUUUCUUCACUGCGUUCUCUCCUUAGAUUUCCAUGUGCAGCUGGGAAUAGGGGUUUAUCCUUAAAAGAUUACCUGUGAGUAAACUGACAUAUGUUUAUGACAUAUGACACGACACGUGUUUAUGCCAGCAUUAUGUUUCAUGAAAACUGUAUGCCUGAUUCAGCAUACAGUCUGCCAAAGGAAACUUAGCUCAAUAUUUUUUUCACUAGUUCAAAACAACAGUGUGAGAUUGUGACAGCUUCGUAUUUUGUGUCAUCUGGCUAUUGUAAUUUCGAUUCAGGAGCAAGUGCUGUAAAAUGAGAGAUGAAAAAAUCAUUAAUGUAUACCUCCAAAUGGUGUACUGAAUUUGUCUCACGCAGGUUUGUCUAGGCUUGGUGUAAUAUCUAAAAUAAUUUAUUUCUUUGCAAAACAAAUACACAGAAUUCAGAUUUGUUGUUGGAUUGAAAAGGAGUCGAAUGGGGUCUAUUGUUAUUUUUUACAAGGAUGCAGUGACUGGAGAUAUAACAUUUGCCAGAAAAAAACAGCUGUUUAUAUGAGGAAAUAAAUGGUAUAUUUUGUUACUGAAAAUUAUUGUAAAUUAGAGUUUUUAUGUGAGGAGACAUUAUGAAUGUCACAAUUGCAGGGAAAUUUUAAUUACAUUAUGCAUCAUAUUAAAUGCCAGCAUAACCAAUAAUAGGAAAAGAUUACGUUCUGUGUAAAUGGGGUUUCUCAUUUCCAGACAGUGGAAAAGCAUGGGUAAAGGAGCUAUCACAGCAUGCAUUAGGGGCAUUCAGAGACUUCCAAGUGCCUUCGCACUGAGUGAGUUCAUGACAAGCCAGGCUUGAUUGGGUUUGGUCCAGCAGUGGCUUUGAGCUAAUUAUUGCAGAGUUACUUUGUCUCUACCCUGUGCUUCAAAGCCUUCUGCGUUCAAAGUUGGCUUGUUAGUCGACUCAGAGCUGGACCCAAGCUGGUUCAUGCUUUCAUGUGGCACUUCACUGGGACUAACAAGCCAUCCCUGUAAACAGAAUUAUUUCGUUUACAGAGCGGAGACAUCCAAAUGUUUCUGAAAGAGAUAAUAGGUUAUCACUAGUACCGAACUGGAGCUAAUAAGCCUUGCUGGACCCAGACUGAUGAUAUGCAGAGCUGUCCAGCUGUGGCUCUGUACAGCUUUUUCCCAAGCUCUGAUUUGCAGGAGCAGUGUUUUGUGUGGCAUUAGCUCCAGUCUCACAUAGUUUAUUAUGCCAAUUGUGAUGCUACGCAAAAGAGGCAAAAUUGAUUCUGGAACAGAAUCUCAAAUCAAACACAUUGCCUGAGCUAAAGAUCCCUAGCAGACUGAAGCUGGCCUGGCAUGAAGCCAUCUUGAUGUGUAUGCAGCUUUGAUGUAUCCUGAUGUCAUCUGCAGCUUGAAUAAACCUCACAGAAAUAUCACUGAUUGGCUGUACAGGAUAGCCAUAAUUAAUAGCAACAUUUGUGUCAGUUUUGAACCAUUAUGGUCAAGAUGAAAGCUAACGAAGGAACAAAAAAAAAAAUACCCAAAAACCAAAAAACCCUGCAUCUGCCAUUCUGUAGUUCUGCUCCUUAUUUGAAAGCAUCUUCUGUUAUUCAGAGCUUAAGAUAAUACAGUGGAUAAAAUAAAUUAGUUAUAAUCCAGUAUCACCUGCUCAAAACCAAUUGUAAUAUUCAAGUUUAAUUUUCCUGUUACUAACAACCUUCUAUCACUGGCAGAACUGAAAGGCGAUGUCCUGACAAGCAAUGAAAGUGGAACUUAAACUGAGGCAUUUUGAAAAGAUGGCACCUGAGAAGAGUACUGGGAGAAAUAGAGCAUAGACUGUUUCAUCUUACAUAUAGUGCAGAAUGCUGGAAAUGUCAUACCAGCUCAACGGUUGACAGCGCAGAUAGGAGUGAAGUAAUGAAGGUCAACCUGAGUAAAACAGCAGUAAUGCUGAGAACGUGAAAGCACUUAUUGAGUUUGCCAGCGUGGCUUACAGAGUCAGAAUCAUCCAAAUCUGUAGAUGUGAAAGAUGGGUGCUCAUCUUGUGUUCCGGCAUGGCACUCACGUCUGUCUGCUUUGCUGGAGCCGCAUUACACCUCUCAAGAAAGAACUCAGCGCUCUCUCAGCAGAGGUUUCCUGCUCCUGCAGCCCACUGUUGUCUGAGUGAAAAGCAGAAUUUUUGAGAGCCCCCACGUUGCAGCGUGAGAAUAUGUUUGUAUUCCAUUGUUUGGAGAGAGAAUGAGGGUUUAUUUGAUUAAUUUAUUUGCAGAUGAUGAUUGUUUAAUUAUUUAGGCUCCCAUAUGCCCAACAAUGGGCAUACUAAUACACUCCAAAGUGAUGGGUUGGUUUUUUUUGUUUGUUUUUGGUCUUUUGUGAUUUAGAAGAAUUUAAGAAAUAAGAGAAGCGGGGUACAAAAAUAGAUAGAUGAUUCACACACCGUGUUUUCCAGCCUGAGAUAAACGUCUGAUAACAAACCCAGGCCUAAAGCGUAUAUGUUGGCAAUCAAUUCUUCUGCACGGCCAGACGUUCAUAAAUAUGAUUUAUUUCAAUUACGUGCUUAUAGACAAAAAUGCAGACAUUUAUUGAAAACUCUUGACUUGCCGAAAUGUUUUGCUAAGAAUUUAGAGGACGAGGAUAUAUGGUAAGAACUACUUUCACAAUCUGUUAAAGGAGAAAACUUGACAUCUUUUGGAAGAAUCAUGCAUAUUUUCUUCUGAAAAAAAAAAUAUUGUGAAAGGCUGCUUAUGGCAGAAGGAGCCUAAAACGUGCUUUAACCUACUCCCCGUAUAGGCAAGUAGUGGAAACAGUUGUUUUAAUAGCAUAAGAGGGUUGUAGAGAAGCAACAAUGAGUUUCAGUAAUCUUCCACUACCUUUGUGCUUAGACAAAUGUUACAGCUGGAAAAAAGUCUCUCUGGCAUUUCAUUCCUUUACCAUAGUAGUUAGGCCCACAAAGGCAGGCUGGUUUGUGCCCCGGGGAGACACGCCAUUUCAGGUUACAGAAAAAAAAAAUAAUGGAAGUUAUUUUCUGUUAAGCAAAUUAUAAACAAGUAGGAACAUGAAAUUUUGGCACGUAUUACCAAGUAGAACUCCAAGAAACUUGUCGAUUUCUAUUCAGAGCAGUCUGUAAAUAUUCUUGGCUUUUCUUUGGCUUCAGCUCACUUUACUACACUGACACUUUACUACAGCUGGGAGUUAUGUGUUAUUUUAACUCUCCAAAGCCAUAAAGGGAUUAGGCCCACAUUAUGACGAAUUCUGCGAGGAUAUAUAGAAUAUGCUGAUCUUCCUCGGUUGUCUUCAGGGUUAGAGAUAGAAAAGGCAGGGAAAAAAGAUUCAGUAUGUGCAUCGAAGUAUUUACUGAGCAACUUCACUUUUGGAUUUUAAUGAACUGUAUUUAAACUAUUCUUACCAUUUUGUUAUUUUUUUUUUUUAUACAAUGCUUUCCUUCCCAAGUGUUUUUUGGGUACUGCUUGCCCUCUUCACUCUUUUGUACCCUUGCAAAAACUGAAUCCUAACUUUUUUUUUUUUGGCCUUUUUUUCCCCUAAGCAGACUACAUAUUAUCAUGUUUUGUGUGUGAAAGAGAGGCAAAGAGUAGGAAAACAUUGUUACAGGUUGUGUGAAAGUACAUAGCAGGAUGGGUAGAAGAGGAUCUGCAGAACCCUACAUGAGACAAUCUGGAAUAAUACUUUUACAGGAAACAGCUCCACUGUGCAAACUGCUUGUGUGUAUUGAUAAACUUCUGGCACUUUGUUUCAGCAUAUAAGAUGUAUUUGUAGUUUUAGUGUUCACUCAUACAUCUAUCUGGAUAUUUAGAGACACAGCUUCCUGCCUGCAGAAAGAAGAGCUGCUGAGUGCUUGAUCUUUUUACAUACUUCACUGUAUACCUUGAAAUUCAGAACACUAUUUUCCUUAGCAAACCCCAUCCUUCAACAAGAGAUUAAUCACAAAUGAAGGAUGAAGAAGAACAUUAGUUGAUAAAUAUUACUAGUUGGAUAUCACCAGCAGUGGCAAAAUAUCCACCUCAUCACAUGCAAUCCAAAUAAUUUUAAUGGGCAUGCUGUCAUAUUGAAUCAUGAUUGCAUACAGGCAUAUAUGUAUUGUACCUUUCUGUGUCGCCCUUGGUCAUUCACUCUGUUCUGUCUGCAAACAGUACCAUUCCUGUUGUCCUACAAAGAUAGAAAUCUGGAAUAAGUAUCCUGUGGGCACUUAGUUGAGAUUGGAAGUAGUAACAGUUCCUGAGAAGGCACAUCUAUCCCUACUGUUCUUUACAUUUGACUGCUCAGACCACAAAAAAAUAUUGAAAGGUAACAGAUUUUAUUGGAAAAUUACAGAUUUUAUAUGCAUAUGAUACCUGGCUUGACUUAGCUUAAAGGAAUUAUGACCAGUUUUUCAGUGAAGUCAUUUCAGCAUUACACUUUUGAGAAGCUUUUAUUAAUCAUAAGCCCUUAGGCAAAUCCUAUAUGAAUUUUUGGCAUGAAACUGUGUGUGUUCAGCUACUCUCCUGCAGUUCAGCUGAAUCCAGUAUGUAAUGCUUAUCUCA